rnacentral:rRNA from 1 species
UACGUAGGUGACGAGCGUUAUCCGGAAUUACUGGGCGUAAAGCGCACGCAGGCGGCGCAGCAAGUUCGACGUGAAAGCUCCCGGCUUAACUGGGAGAGGUCGUUGAAGACUGCUGUGCUUGAGGCAAUGAGAGGGGUGUAGAAUUCCCGGUGUAGUGGUGGAAUGCGUAGAUAUCGGGGGGAAUACCAGUGGCGAAAGCGGCACCCUAGCAUUAGCCUGACGCUCAUGUGCGAAAGCGUGGGGAGCGAACGGG